GAGAUUGUUGUUGUCACCUGCGUCAGGUAGCGUGGGUCAGUUGUCGUCGGGUGAAAGAGGAGGGAGGAACGCGCUCAGAGGUGUCCACUAUACUCUACUUUUCCUAUACGGUACAGGACAACCCCCUCGUUACUGCCUCCCUGAUCGUAAACAUUGACGGUAUUGAAGCUGUCCUCCGUUUGUGGGAUUUGGGGUCAUUUUUAUUAAAGAUGGAUCCAGUUGGUUGUGUUGAUUACUGUUGUGUUAAAGGUGUAGAAGACAAAGACCAGAUUGCUGCCUCGGUGAUCAUAAUUAAGGAUACAUGAAGUUCCUUGUGUCGUCCAUCGAGGACGGCGAUAUGAAGAUGCAGGACACAACAACCGUGAGAAUGUCUUCUGGCAAACGGGACUCUUGCUGCAACACAUUAGAAACCCAACUCUUUCUGCAGUUACAACUUACGGUCCGGGCUAGUCUCAUUGUGGUUUGUUUACUAGUUUUGAUUAAUUAUCUGGGUUCACAAUUUAAAAAUUAAGAGUAAUUAGUGUUAAUUAAUUGCCUUUGAAAUUAUUUAAGUAGGUUACGCUCUUACUUCGUAGUUUUAAAUGGCCUUUAUAUACACUCAUAAAUAUAGGCUAUUAGGGUGUUUACUGAGCUAGAAAAGCCAGGAAAUAUUACAAAUAAAUGUGGAAUUUUAUUUAAAUUCAGUUUAACUUCAAAAUGUUACGUUGCUAGAAAUUUUGCCAUAAAGUAAUGCUGUACUGUCACAUGUGAUGGUCUUAAAACAUAUACUUGAUUAAUUGAAGUAUGUAAGUCUUCAUAAACUAAAGCUGCACCAAUUUUAUACUUUUAUGUAUUUUCUACUUGUGCUCAUCAAGACUAGUCUUGCAGAGCACAACAAAUGUAUUACAAA